rnacentral:rRNA from 1 species
AUGUUUUGUCAGUUCAAGAAUUUGUGCAAGUUUUUCAGCUUAAGAGCAUUGUUUUGCACAUUUAAGUUACAAAUUCCCAAGCCUCCGUUAUUAUUGGGUCUACACAACACACUCCAAGCAACCAUUGCUGGCCUAUGGUCUUCCAUGCCUGAUCCUCUCCAAAGAAAGUGUCUAAGAUAUUUUGCAAUUUGUUUUUUGAUGGUCUCUGGUAUAUCCAAGCAACACAUGCAAAAGAUUGGUAAAGAUGCUAGAAUAGAUUUGACCAGUAGCAGUCUCCCAGCUUGUGUCAUGAAUGUUGCCAAACUUGCUCUACAGUGGGUUUCACUAGUCCAAGUGGUAAUCCAAGAUAUGUGA